rnacentral:lncRNA from 7 species
AGAGAAAAAAUAAAAGCAGCUUUUAAUGGCUGGUCAGCUUUCAAUCUCGAUCUCUCCACUUUAAAAGCUUUGGGAAAAAAACAGAAUAGCUUUUAAUGAAAUAGCAGCUACUGGAACACCAGUAGCUCUCUUUCCUCCCAGAGAUGCAACAGGGAAUAUAAUUUAAUUUGAUUAAUUCAUAGCCUGAAGCGGUGAGCAGCAAGAGAACUACCAGAACAUUGGUACCUUGACUUCUGAUGUGUGAUGGAGGGAAACGUUUGGAUCUUCUCAGGAGGAUGCAAAUGAAAGCAUGAAGACUUCAGACAUCACAGAGGCUCAGAAAAAACUCAGAAAAAGACAGAGAAUGAGAGAACAGAAGAAGUUGAAGCAGCAGAAUCUUCUUCUAUGAGAUAUUCUUUUUGAAAUUUAUGCAAAGAGAAUGCAGCUUUGUAAAGGGAGCUGAGCAUAAUCCCAAACACUGAUGAGAAUGCUUGGACAAUGAAGGUUCUGAAAUGAGAAUUCUCAAAUCUGAAAUCUUUCCAAAACAUGAAGAGCUCUUUGUCUGCUUGGAAAAACAUCAGCUAACCAUUCCCCCCCAUAUAAGAGAUCAAGCCUCCGCACUAACCAGCAGGCCAUCAGGAGGGGGUGGAUGUUUCAGCUCUCUCCUUAAGCCACUGUGCUUUGCAUGAGAUAAUUCAGUAUGAAUUGGACCAGAGAGAGAGAGAGAGAGACAUCAGUGAAUGUAAUUUUUGAACCCCAGAGGCCAGUCAGCUACUGGAGGGAAGGGAGCUGCACUUGAGUCCCACUUCUAAUUAACGUAACUGUUAAUUAGUGUGGAAAACAGCAAAAAAGACCUGCCAGGAGGAUUUCAGAACCCACCAGACUGCAGCCUAACAGUUAGGACAUGCUUGCGUGAGUUUAACUGUUCUUGGUUAAGAGACAGACUUAAAAUCUCUGACUCUUGGAUUAAAAAAAAAAAAAAAAAAAAAAAAAAAAAGAAGAAGAAAAAGAAGAAAAAGAAAAAGAAAGACCGGAUAAAAUGGAAAUAGAAACAAAACACUUCAAUUUGCUGAGAAUGAAAUCUGUGCAAACACUUUUUGUAAUCCUCAACUAGAUUCAGAGAAAUGAGUGGUUUUUAAACCCUGACAGUGUAUAAAUAUAAAUUACAUGCUUAGCUGCUCAGUGCCAUCAAAAUGUGCAUGGUUCUGGGCAUACCCUGAAGGAGACAUUUAUCUGCUGGUAGAAGUUGACUGGUGGAAGUGCAAUCACUUAAGGAACCAUUUCUGUUAAUGCGAAGGCUGCUGUUGAUGACUGCCUGCUGCUUUAUUCUUCGGGACUGACUGCUUGGCUGACUUUGAACUUGUUGGUUGGGUUUUAUAAGAAAAAAUGUAGACGUUUACAGCAUAGGUAUCUACAUUUGACCCACUGUCCUUGACUCUUUCCCCAUUCAUCAUUUGUUUACUUAGUAUAGAAAAUAUGAAGAUCUGUGAGGAAUGUAUUUGUGUUUGACAAAAUGAAGUUCAUUGUUUUUAAAGAAGUUUUAUACAUAAAAAGGAAACAGAUGCUG